ACGAACGCUGGCGGCAUGCCUAACACCUGCCAGUCGAACGCGACCUUCGGGUCUAGUGGCGCACGGGUGCGUAACGCGUGGGAACCUGCCCUUAGGUUCGGAAUAACUCCCCGAAAGGGGUGCUAAUACCGGAUAAUGUCUUCGGACCAAAGAUUUAUCGCCUUUGGAUGGGCCCGCGUUGGAUUAGCUAGUUGGUAGGGUAAAAGCCUACCAAGGCGACGAUCCAUAGCUGGUCUGAGAGGAUGAUCAGCCACACUGGGACUGAGACACGGCCCAGACUCCUACGGGAGGCAGCAGUGGGGAAUAUUGGACAAUGGGCGAAAGCCUGAUCCAGCAAUGCCGCGUGAGUGAUGAAGGCCUUAGGGUUGUAAAGCUCUUUUACCCGGGAUGAUAAUGACAGUACCGGGAGAAUAAGCGCCGGCUAACUCCGUG
rnacentral:rRNA from 1 species